rnacentral:rRNA from 1 species
UACGGAGGGUGCAAGCGUUAUCCGGAUUCACUGGGUUUAAAGGGUGCGUAGGUGGGCUUGUAAGUCAGUGGUGAAAUCUCUGAGCUUAACUCAGAAACUGCCAUUGAUACUAUAGGUCUUGAAUCUUCUGGAGGUCAGCGGAAUAUGUCAUGUAGCGGUGAAAUGCUUAGAUAUGACAUAGAACACCAAUUGCGAAGGCAGCUGACUACGGGGAGCAUUGACACUGAGGCACGAAAAGCGUGGGGGAUCAAACAGG